AGACAGCAGCAGCCACGGGAAUACGGAGGGUGCAAGCGUUAAUCGGAAUUACUGGGCGUAAAGCGCACGCAGGCGGUCUGACAAGUCAGAUGUGAAAUCCCCGGGCUUAACCUGGGAACUGCAUUUGAAACUGUCAGGCUGGAGUCUUGUAGAGGGGGGUGGAAUUCCAGGUGUAGCGGUGAAAUGCGUAGAGAUCUGGAGGAAUACCGGUGGCGAAGGCGGCCCCCUGGACAAAGACUGACGCUCAGGUGCGAAAGCGUGGGGAGCAAACAGGAUUAGAUACCCCAGUAGUCCCUGUCUCUUAUAC
rnacentral:rRNA from 1 species